rnacentral:lncRNA from 1 species
UGGGCCACAUCCAUAUAGGCUUAAUCAAAUAAAUUUCAAUAUAGCAAACUUAAAAGGUCACCAAGGUGGAGAUCUCCUGACUCUAGGAGAAAUUUACAAAAUCUAGGGCACAUGGUUGGAGAAAGUUGGACUCUAGAAUAGGCAUGGAAAUGAGUAACUUUCUUUCUGGUAGUUUGGUUGGGGAAGUCUCAUUUUCAUUUCAAUUCCAAAGG